rnacentral:rRNA from 1 species
UGGGGAAUAUUGGACAAUGGGCGAAAGCCUGAUCCAGCAAUGCCGCGUGAGUGAUGAAGGCCUUAGGGUUGUAAAGCUCUUUUACCAGGGAUGAUAAUGACAGUACCUGGAGAAUAAGCUCCGGCUAACUCCGUGCCAGCAGCCGCGGUAAUACGGAGGGAGCUAGCGUUGUUCGGAAUUACUGGGCGUAAAGCGCGCGUAGGCGGUUUAUCAAGUCAGGGGUGAAAUCCCGGGGCUCAACCCCGGAACUGCCCUUGAAACUGGUUCACUAGAAUCCUGGAGAGGCGAGUGGAAUUCCGAGUGUAGAGGUGAAAUUCGUAGAUAUUCGGAAGAACACCAGUGGCGAAGGCGACUCGCUGGACAGCUAUUGACGCUGAGGUGCGAAAGCGUGGGGAGCAAACA